rnacentral:sRNA from 12 species
GUUUGCACUUAUCGGGGAAGGGUGAGAACCUUCGAUUAAGGUUCGACUCGAGCGAAAGCGAGAGAACGUUGCCAACGGCAACGGCCCGUAGGGUGAGGAGCGAAGCGACGAAUAAUCCUUCCCCCACCACCA